rnacentral:rRNA from 1 species
UACGUAGGGGGCAAGCGUUGUCCGGAAUCAUUGGGCGUAAAGCGCGUGUAGGCGGCCAGAUAAGUCCGUUCUGAAAGCCCGGGGCUCAACCCCGGGAGGCGGAUGGAUACUAUUUGGCUCGAGUCCGGAAGAGGCGAGUGGAAUUCCCGGUGUAGCGGUGAAAUGCGCAGAUAUCGGGAGGAACACCAAUGGCGAAGGCAGCACUCUGGGACGGUACUGACGCUGAGACGCGAAAGCGUGGGGAGCGAACAGG